UAUUAUGAAAAGAUAGUUUGAUAAGAUAAAGAUGAUUGGUUGGUUGAGGAGAGAGAAUAUGUGAUUUUAUUUAGGAAAAAAUAAAAGGAAGAUAAAGAAGGAGAUUUUGUGGGUUUUAAAUGAAGAGAGAGAGUGUGAAGAUUUUGGGGAAAGAUAAUAAAGAAAAAUAAAAAUAAAAGGAAUUAUUUUAAUUUAAAUAGGGUAUUGGAAUGUGAGCAUUUAAUGCUCCACCAUCUUCUUCACCAAGGAAGAGAAAAGAGGAAAAAAAAAAAGAGAAAACCCUAACCCUAACACUAAUCUUAAUCUGCCGCCAUCGUCGCCGCUCGACUCGUCGUAGCCGAUCCAUUCGCAGUCGCCCCACCUUCGUAAGCAGCACGUCAUCUCCAUCGUUCCCCAAACUGCCGCGUCUCCGUCAGCACCCCGCCGCAAGCCGUCAAUCGCUGGCUCGACGUCACAGUCGUCGCUCGGUGUCGUCAGCAAGCAUCUCCGUCGGUCAACGGGUCGCCUACCCAGCCGUGCACUUCCGACUCAUACGCACGUCCGAUCCACGCCUCCAGUCGCUCCGCGUCGCGAACCAACCCGACCCACGCCCCUUCUUCGUGAAUCGAACCAGUCGAGCCGCUCCUCCAGCCACGAGCCGUGUUUGCCUCCUAGCCGAGCCACCAAGCUUUUUGAGCCGCUUAGCAUGUUUUUUUUUUUUACCUUUUCUACCUAUUUUGGUAAGUUUUGUUUGGAUUUUGGUUAAUUCCCAACAAAUCUUAGUUUUUGGACCCUAAAUAAUUUAAUUUUGGAUUAAACUAAAUUAUUUUUCUUAAAGGACAGUUUGGACCAAGUGAAUUUGGAGCGUGGGAUUUCUCUAGCUAAAGGCUUAUUCGUUGCAACCUCGCCUCGGGUAAGUUAUUUCGAUUGAAAUCUUCGGUCCUUGGUCGUUUGAUGGUUAAGUUAUGUAAAUUCGUGUUUUCUAACUAUUUAGGACGUCACUGCUUGGAAAGCGUGAUUUUACUGUUAGAAUUCGUUCGAGCAAAUCUCCAGGCAAGAGAUUAUACUACUAGACCUUCGAAUUACAUUCAAGAGACUGCAUGUAUUAAUAUAUGGUUAUGUAUCAAUGGUAGCUAAGUGCACGACUCGAGGUUAUUGAGAGAGAGGCGGAUAUUUUGUAAAUGCGUCUACUGGUUGAUUUUAUGGUUAGCGCUGAUAGUAUGUUGAUGCUAUCGCCUACGUCUUAAUGACAUAGUUUUGUGGUUGAGGAUGACAUGAUAUGAUAUGUUAUGGUAUGAUAUGUUAUGGCAUGAUUUGUUGUAGUAUGACAUGUUAUGAUAUGAUAUGUUAUGAUGAUGAUAUGUUAUGUGCAUGCUAUGGAUAGGGUGUAUGUUAGCUUUACCUAUUAGAGUCGUAUCCACACGAGUGUCUUUCGGGAUCACCACUCUUUUAGACGACUGUGUAGUCCAACGGGAUCACCAGUUUGACAUUGACAUUGACACAGACAUGAUUUGAGAGAUCCGAUGGGAUCGCUCACACUUAUGACUGCCGUAGUCCGACGGGACCACCAGACUGACAUUGACAUUGACAUUGACAUAGACAUGAUUUGAGUGAUUCGACGGAAUCACUCACAGCCCGAUCAUCUUAGGUGUUCCUUUGGGUUCAUCAGAGACCAGCUUGUUUCAACGGGAUCACAGAUUGCACGUGUUUGGGAACGUACCAGUUCAGGGGCAGAGGCAGAGGUAAGAGCAAAGACAAGCUGGCGAAUGACCAGAAGUGACCGUGGCGAGCCAUAGGGAUACGUUUGCUUCCGCUUUAUGUCAUAGUUCGAAUUUUAGUAUUUGAAUUUUUAUUUUAUUCUUUAUUUGUUAUUUUACUUCUUUAAAAUUAGAUAGGGCCCGAAUUAGGAUUUUAUUUUUUUGACUUAUUUUUAAAUACAUUUGUUUAUAUUUUAAUGAGAAAUUCGAGGUUUUGUUUUA